CCUGAGUCGGAUGUAUCUUAGGACAGAGCCCUCUGUGCUGCCCUGUGCUGUAGAAGCUUCCCUGCGGGGGAAGAGGGCUCCCUGCGGAAUAGGCUUGUCAGGAGCAGCUCCCAGGGCAGCAAGGGGUUGAUUUCACACUCAGCCU